rnacentral:tRNA from 1 species
GCCGGUUUGGCGGAGAAGUUUACGCGAUGGACUGCAAAUCCAUUCUACCAGGGUGCAAAUCCCUGAGCCGGCUCCA